rnacentral:rRNA from 1 species
GCUUGUCUCAAAGAUUAAGCCAUGCAUGUCUAAGUAUAAGCCUUUAUAUGGUGAGACUGCGAAUGGCUCAUUAAAUCAGAAACUGUUUAUUUGAUAGUGCCUACUACAUGGAUACCUGUAGUAAUUCUAGAGCUAAUACAUGCGCAAAUACCCAACUGCUUGUCGGACGGGUAGCAUUUAUUAGAUUGAAACCAAUGCAGGGCAACCUGGAAUAUGGUGAUUCAUAAUAACUCGCGGAUCGGUUUACCGAUGCAUCAUUCAAGUUUCUGCCCUAUCAGCUUUGGAUGGUAGGGUAUUGGCCUACCAUGGCUUUAACGGGUAACGGAGAAUUAGGGUUCGAUUCCGGAGAGGGAGCCUGAGAAAUGGCUACCACAUCCAAGGAAGGCAGCAGG